GCUUACGGCCAUACCAACCUGGCUAUGCCCGAUCUCGUCUGAUCUCGGAAGCUAAGCAGGUUUGGGCCUGGUUAGUACUUGGAUGGGAGACCUCCUGGGAAUACCAGGUGCUGUAAGGU
rnacentral:rRNA from 1 species